GACGAACGCUGGCGGCGUGCCUAACACAUGCAAGUCGAACGGAAAGGCCCUGCUUUUGUGGGGUGCUCGAGUGGCGAACGGGUGAGUAACACGUGAGUAACCUGCCCUUGACUUUGGGAUAACUCCAGGAAACUGGGGCUAAUACCGGAUAGGAGCUCCUGCUGCAUGGUGGGGGUUGGAAAGUUUCGGCGGUUGGGGAUGGACUCGCGGCUUAUCAGCUUGUUGGUGGGGUAGUGGCUUACCAAGGCUUUGACGGGUAGCCGGCCUGAGAGGGUGACCGGCCACAUUGGGACUGAGAUACGGCCCAGACUCCUACGGGAGGCAGCAGUGGGGAAUAUUGCACAAUGGGCGGAAGCCUGAUGCAGCAACGCCGCGUGCGGGAUGACGGCCUUCGGGUUGUAAACCGCUUUCGCCUGUGACGAAGCGUGAGUGACGGUAAUGGGUAAAGAAGCACCGGCUAACUACGUG
rnacentral:rRNA from 1 species